AGCGAACGCUGGCGGCAGGCCUAACACAUGCAAGUCGAACGAACUCUUCGGAGUUAGUGGCGGACGGGUGAGUAACACGUGGGAACGUUCCUUUAGGUUCGGAAUAACUCAGGGAAACUUGUGCUAAUACCGAAUGUGCCCUUCUGGGGAAAGAUUUAUCGCCUUUCGAGCGGCCCGCGUCUGAUUAGCUAGUUGGUGAGGUAAAGGCUCACCAAGGCGACGAUCAGUAGCUGGUCUGAGAGGAUGAUCAGCCACAUUGGGACUGAGACACGGCCCAAACUCCUACGGGAGGCAGCAGUGGGGAAUCUUGCGCAAUGGGCGAAAGCCUGACGCAGCCAUGCCGCGUGAAUGAUGAAGGUCUUAGGAUUGUAAAAUUCUUUCACCGGGGACGAUAAUGACGGUACCCGGAGAAGAAGCCCCGGCUAACUUCGUG
rnacentral:rRNA from 1 species